GUCUAUAGCUCAGUGGUAGAGCAUUCGGCUGCAAUCCGAGUGGUCCCUGGUUCAAACCCGGG
rnacentral:ncRNA from 16 species